rnacentral:lncRNA from 1 species
UCAAGGGAAUUAUAGCUGCUCUUGAAUAGAUUUUGAUUGUUAACCUCUGGAUACACUCCUAGGUUUUGUUUGGCUUUGAAACAAGCAGAAAUAAACAGCGCACACCCACCCCAAAACUCUCCAUUGCUUUGGUGUAGCCAGUUAGGCUGGAAGGAGCCCAAGAAAACAGUCCACAUUUACAACAUCUGCAGCUUCAGUCUGCAACAGUGUACAGUAACAGAAUAAUGCACAGACUGCACAGACGAUCU